rnacentral:rRNA from 1 species
ACACAUGCAGUCGAGGGGUAUUUAUCGUUCGGAUAGAGAGACCGGCGCACGGGUGCGUAACGCGUAUGCAAUCUACCUUUUACAGAGGGAUAGCCCAGAGAAAUUUGGAUUAAUACCUCAUAGUAUAUAGACUCGGCAUCNAGAUUAUAUUAAAGUCACAACGGUAAAAGAUGAGCAUGCGUCCCAUUAGCUAGUUGGUAAGGUAACGGCUUACCAAGGCUACGAUGGGUAGGGGUCCUGAGAGGGAGAUCCCCCACACUGGUACUGAGACACGGACCAGACUCCUACGGGAGGCAGCAGUGAGGAAUAUUGGACAAUGGGCGCAAGCCUGAUCCAGCCAUGCCGCGUGCAGGAUGACGGUCCUAUGGAUUGUAAACUGCUUUUAUACGAGAAGAAACACUACUUCGUGAAGUAGCUUGACGGUAUCGUAAGAAUAAGGAUCGGCUAACUCCGUGCCAGCAGCCGCGGUAAUACGGAGGAUCCAAGCGUUAUCCGGAAUCAUUGGGUUUAAAGGGUCCGUAGGCGGUUUAAUAAGUCAGUGGUGAAAGCCCAUCGCUCAACGGUGGAACGGCCAUUGAUACUGUUAGACUUGAAUUAUUAGGAAGUAACUAGAAUAUGUAGUGUAGCGGUGAAAUGCUUAGAGAUUACAUGGAAUACCAAUUGCGAAGGCAGGUUACUACUAAUUGAUUGACGCUGAUGGACGAAAGCGUGGGUAGCGAACAGGAUUAGAUACCCUGGUAGUCCACGCCGUAAACGAUGGAUACUAGCUGUUGGGAGCAAUCUCAGUGGCUAA